AACGUAGGUGGCGAGCGUUAUCCGGAUUUACUGGGCGUAAAGCGUGUGCAGGCGGGAUACCAAGUGGUGUAUGAAAGCACUGCGCUCAACGCAGUGACGGUAGGCCAGACUGGUAUUCUGGAGGGCGAGAGAGGGGCGUGGAAUUCCGGGUGAGUGGUGAAAUGCGUAGAGAUCCGGAGGAACCCCAGAGGCGAAGGCGGCGCCUGGCUCGCACCUGACGCUCAGACACGACA
rnacentral:rRNA from 1 species